UUCUGGCAAGAUUAGCAGAAUGAGAGCUCUUUCUUGAUUUGGUGGAUGGUGGUGCAUGGCCGUUCUUAGUUGGUAGACUCUAGCCUAUUAAAUAGGCGCGUGGUCCUCUGCACCUUGCACCCUUCUUAGAGGGACAAACGUCUCCUAGUCGCACAAAACAGAGCAAUAACAGGUAUGUGAUGCCCUUAGAU
rnacentral:rRNA from 1 species